rnacentral:rRNA from 1 species
UAGGGAAUCUUCCACAAUGGACGCAAGUCUGAUGGAGCAACGCCGCGUGAGUGAAGAAGGUUUUCGGACCGUAAAGCUCUGUUGUUGGUGAAGAAGGAUAGAGGUAGUAACUGGCCUUUAUUUGACGGUAAUCAACCAGAAAGUCACGGCUAACUACGUGCCAGCAGCCGCGGUAAUACGUAGGUGGCAAGCGUUGUCCGGAUUUAUUGGGCGUAAAGCGAGCGCAGGCGGAAGAAUAAGUCUGAUGUGAAAGCCCUCGGCUUAACCGAGGAAUUGCAUCGGAAACUGUUUUCUUGAGUGCAGAAGAGGAGAGUAGAACUCCAUGUGUAGCGGUGGAAUGCGUAGAUAUAUGGAAGAAUACCAGUGGCGAAGGCGGCUCUCUGGUCUGCAACUGACGCUGAGGCUCGAAAGCAUGGGUAGCGAACAGGAUUAGAUACCCUGGUAGUCCAUGCCGUAAACGAUGAGUGCUAAGUGUUGGGAGGCUUCCGCCUCUCAGUGCUGCAGCUAACGCAUUAAGCACUCCGCCUGGGGAGUACGACCGCAAGGUUGAAACUCU